GAAGAACUGGAACAGGGAGUAAAAGGAGGCCUCCAGGUUUAGCCACUCUGUUAACACUUACAGACAAGAUGAAAGUAUACCUAGAGGGACCUGUUUUCCUAACUGAUGUUAGAAAACUGAUGUGUCAUUUGAGCUAACCUCAGAAUCAAAACUUUGGCAUAAUUCUGGAGAAUGUGGUCACCAGAAAGCACAGAUGUUACUCUGGGACUACCACAUUGUGAAGGAAUUAUAACUGAUUUCUAAGACUUCAAAUUCUUAAUUGUUGGCCACUUGGCUUUACAAUGUGAAAAAGAACAUAUACAAAUAGGAUGACACACUGAAUGUCAGAUUUACGGUGUAUGUCAAGAAAAGAGCACAAACAAGUGGCAGUACCGUUUAUUCUCAAGCAAAAAUAUCUAAAGACAAACAUUCUCUGAAAUGCUGAAAUUACAUAACAUGAAUAGUGUAGAUUUUUAUUUACUUUCUGCCUAACUCAAAAAAGAUACACAAAAUGACUUUGAAAAUAAUUCUUUUAAAGCUCCUCAAAAGAAACAAUGUAAAUCCAAACCUGUGACAACAAAAAUGGAAUGUUUGUUUAAAAGAAAAGGUGUAGGAGGCCUAGCACGGUGGCUCACGUUUAUAUUCCCAGCACUCUGGGAGGCCGAGGUGGGCGGAUCACAAGGUCAGGAGAUCAAGACCAUCCUGGCCAACAGGGUGAAACCCCAUCUCUACUAAAAAUACAAAAAAUUAGCCGGGCAUGGCGGCAUGCGCCUGCAGUCCCAGCUACUCGAGAGGCUAAGGCAGGAGAAUUGCUUGAACCCGGGAGGCAGAGGCUGCAGUAACCUGAGACUGUGCCACUGCACUCCAGCCUGGCGACAGAGUGAGACUCCAUCUCAAAAAAAAGAAAAAGAAAAGGUGGAGGAAUUUACAGCAAGAAAUCUGGUGAAAGUGUAUUUUCUGUUUCAUCUGAAGGAUGAGACUAAACAUCCACAAAUUACUGUCACAUUUUGGCACCGAGACCUCUGAACUUAUGCUUCCAGAACUAUCUCACAGACUGAGCCACCACAAUUACCAUUCAGAUAAUUACAAUAUGAAAACUCUAUUGUUUAACCUGCACCUUGAAGUUCACCAGGUUUCAGUAUGGAAGUGUUUCGGAGGUCAACUGUUGUUACUGAUAGAGGUGACAGAACAAAAUUGACAGUAACUUCUAAAGAGGAUUCCUGAGAAAUGGUAUUGGAACAACGGCCCCUAAGUGUAGGUCUAGUUCUCAAGACCUGAAAGUCUCCCAUGAAGAGGUUCAAGCCUCACUGCAACACUGAUUGGUACAAUUUGUCAUAUAAUUGAUUUAUU